GUGUCCGAGGUCUUGCUCGUUUUCAUACCUGCGGGCAGGCUGAGCCCUCUUCUGCGCUGGAGUUGAUGUCAUGCAAGCGCCGGGGGUACAUGACGUCAUCCGAGCGCGCCUCCCACGGUACCCAAGCCCUGGGCUCAGACAAAGGCGUUGCUGUGGAGACGGGGCUUUGAGCCCCGUCUCCGAUACGAGAUUGGAGGAGAGAGGGUCAGCUGAUGUUGGAUGGUUCCAUUUGUGUGGCGUGAGAAUGACUCAGAAUGCCUUGGAAGCCACCUCCAGAGUCUUGACAAGGAAGAGGACAUGGCACAACCCACGUUCGCACCUCCUAACAGAGCAAUGAGACCGGUGGCUGCUAACACACAUGUCGGAAAGCAGCAUGGAGGAGCCACAGUCCCAGAUGUAAAGACGUAAGCUCUCUCCUCCUUUGACCUCAGCAGGGUUGUUUUAGAAAUACUCUGCUUUCUCUCUCAUCCAAAGGGUCAGUCCCGGGGUCACAGGAGACCUCAGAACAUCUCUGCCCACCGGAGGAUCUAAAGACCCUGUUCGAGUCGAGUCGGAUUCAGAUCACUUCCCUGACAUCCUCCCUCUGGAGUACCACCUGAGACUUCUCUGGUGGUCUAGUGGUUGCAAAUUCAUCUGCCAAUGCAGGGGACAUGGGUUCAAUCCCUGGUCCAAGAAGAUCCCACACACCAAGGGGCAACUAAACCCAUGCACCACAACUACUGAGCCCGAGCACAGCCAAAAAUAAAUAUUUUUGAAAAAAAAAAAAAAAAAGAGCACAACCUGUGUCAGCCCCAAGAUGCUCUAUCCACUCAUUCCUGUGACCCAAACCCCCAGGACUUGCUCAGUGCUGUUGCCUGUUCUAGUCAUCACUGUCAUGUCACCUUCCAAUCGAAAUGGUCUUUUCCCUUGCAUGUGCUUCUGGGAAUUUUUGAACACUAGACUCUAAACAAAGUUCCUUCCUUCACCCCGUCUGGCCUCAUCACCUCAGUUCUCUGUCCAUUCAGUUGCUGCCACCCCAGCCAUCCUGCUUAUUCUUGAACUUAUCAGACACACGUGCAGCUGGAGUCUAGGAACAUGCUGCUUUCUCCAUCUGGAAUACACUCUUUGGGUCAUCCACGUGGCUCCCUCGAUCCCUUCCUUUAGGUCUUCAUCCACGUGCCUGCCAGCCAGUGAGACCUUCCCAACCACGCUCCUCCCCGGACCGCCCCAGCCACCCACCCCUGCGUGUCCUCCUUCCACACAGAUGAUCCCUGGAGCUCUCAUCCGUAUCUGUGACAGCAGCUGCUACCUGUCUGUCCUCUGCCUGCCUCCCUCAUUGGAACACCAGCUCUGUGCGGGCAGGGAUUUGACAUUUUUUUGUCCACUGUCACAGCCCAGUACCUGUAGUAGGGCUUACAUAUCCACCAUAAAGGAGGCUGAGUGCCGAAGAAUUGAUGCUUUCAAACUCUGGUGUUGGAGAAUACUCUUGAGAGUCCUUUGGACAGCAAGGAGAU